GUACUACUUCCUCCGUCUAACAAAAGAUGUCUCGAGUUUGUCAAAAUUUGGAUGUAUCUAGACAUGACUUAGUGUAUAGAUGCAUUCAAAUUUAGUCAAAAUUGAGACAUUCUUUAUUGGACGGAGGGAGUAGAUU
rfam:Brachypodium distachyon strain Bd21 chromosome 4, whole genome shotgun sequence.